rnacentral:rRNA from 1 species
GACGAACGCUGGCGGCGUGCUUAACACAUGCAAGUCGAACGGAAAGGCCCUGCUUUUGUGGGGUGCUCGAGUGGCGAACGGGUGAGUAACACGUGAGUAACCUGCCCUUGACUUUGGGAUAACUUCAGGAAACUGGGGCUAAUACCGGAUAGGAGCUCCUGCUGCAUGGUGGGGGUUGGAAAGUUUCGGCGGUUGGGGAUAGACUCGCGGCUUAUCAGCUUGUUGGUGGGGUAGUGGCUUACCAAGGCUUUGACGGGUAGCCGGCCUGAGAGGGUGACCGGCCACAUUGGGACUGAGAUACGGCCCAGACUCCUACAGGAGGCAGCAGUGGGGAAUAUUGCACAAUGGGCGGAAGCCUGAUGCAGCAACGCCGCGUGCGGGAUGACGGCCUUCGGGUUGUAAACCGCUUUCGCCUGUGACGAAGCGUGAGUGACGGUAAUGGGUAAAGAAGCACCGGCUAACUACGUG